UCGACUGAAACGACAUCUGGUUUUCCCGUCAUUCAAACAAUGUCUCCGUGACUGCAACUUUCUUGUUUGCUGGUUGCACAAACUGGAAAAAUUGCCGUAAUUGUCCUGCGUAGCACCCUAUAAAUACUGAGCGUCUCGCCAAUGGUACAUCAGUGUUUAGAAUACUAUACGAGUAUAGUUCUUCGCAUGAAGAUGCGCUUUCUGUGCCUCCUGUUUCUCGCUGCCUUCGCUUGCGGCGCUGUUUCUCUGACGCUGCCUCCACCUCCACAAGAAAAUACCACAAAGAAGGAUGAUGAACUCGCCACUGUGUCGGCUGUAGCGUCUCAACAAGAACCCACUCCCCAGGCAUUGUCCGAAACCGACGAUGUGUCACGAGAACUGGAUGAGCUGAUGUCUCUGAUGUCAGAGGACGAAGAGGCGACCUAUUUUGUCAGAGGCAUUGCGAGAGUUCUCAGAAGGAGAAAGUCCAAGUCAAAGAAGAAGUCAAGGAGAGGAAGGGGACGCUGUGGCUGCAAGGGCUAAAAUAAGGCAUCAAGGCCGACAAAAACGUUCUUACAUUUUGUAUGUGUAUCGAGAAAACAAGAUUCGCGGUGAUUGCGUAGUAUAUCGCGUGGGGUUUGAAUUCGAAACCUCUUGCAGAAACGACUGGUCUGCAGGAAAUGAAAGAUGAUUAAUAAACGUAUCCUUAAAUGUGA